AAACAAGUCAUUCGCGAUCAACAUGUUGGAGGGUAAGUCAAUUUCUUUAAAUGUUAUUUUUUUUUUGUGUUGAAUUCAUUCAAUAUAAUACAUUUAUAUAUAAAAUUUUUAUUUUCAUAUAUAACAUAAAGGUACUACUAGUACUAGUCGAUCCUUACUUUGUGUUUUAUUUACUUUGUUUAACAAAAAUUAUUUACUUUGCGUUUUAUUUACUUUGCUAGGUAGUCGUUGUAGGAUCGACUACUUACGACCAGCUAGCGCGGAUGCGUGACUGCGCGCACCGGGACCACUGUUCGCUAGUAGUACCUAACAUAAACAUGUACAUCUUUUAGAACAUUGUCAUUUUAUAAGAUUUUGCUGACAGAUUUUUAAAUUAACACAAACAUUUAUUCACACGAAAGAAAAUACCGGAGAAUUUUUGGCGAAAGUAAAGAAUACGCCCACUAGGUGUUUAGGGUUUUUGUUACGCCGAAAACGGGUGGUGUACGUAUUCUUUACCUCUAUCCUGUAUGUUUUAAUCAUCUGAUAUAAGUAUUCAAAACUAUGCGUAACAUAAGUCCGAAGAAAAAUUUAGAAAACUAUUAAAACUAACCCACUUUUUCAUAGCAUAAAUCGGAUCUUUUCGGUUUGAACGGCAGUUUUUAAAUAUAAUUUCCACGUAACUAAACAAUUUUAAACUUCGUAUACUGGCAGAGUGUGUUUAUAAAACAUUCUUUUUCUCUAGGAUUUAUUGAGAAAAUUCUAUAGUUUGUUAGAUAUUUGUUGUUUUUUCUUCAAUUUCUGCAAUUUCAACCAAUCAAUGACGUCUAUUGAAGUGAAAACAUUCUGUGCCGUAUGAAUAUGCCCCUCGUUUAAGAAACAGAUUGGGUUUAUUUACAUUUCUGAAGAAAAAAAGAUACCCUUCCUCCCACCCCUAACCCUAGAACAGAUUGAAAUGCAAUAGAUCGAUAAUAGGGUCAUAAUUAUGGGUGACAAUUUCAUAUGACACCGCUAGAAAAAACUGCCGUUCAAACCGAAAAGAUCCCAUUUGAUUGUGUGUGAACCGGGAUGUCAUUAUUUUUCUUUUAUGGAAUUUGACGGAUAUAUACAUUUUCGGUUAAUGUUUAAAGGUCGAUUUUUCGUGCCGGUGUACUUGUAAACAUUAACAACACUUUCCAAAAAUGUAAAUUACCAUUAUGUUUGUUUCUCCCUUAAUUAUAGGCGCAGAAGUGGCUGUGUGGUAAGUAGCUUGCUAACCAACCACAUGGUUCCGGGUUCGGUCCCACUGCGUGGCAUCUUGGGCAGGUGUCUUCUGCUAUAGCCCCGGGCCGACCAAUGCCUUGUGAGUGGAUUUGGUAGACGGAAACUGAAAGAAGCCUGUCGUAUAUAUGUAUAUAUAUAUAUAUAUAUAUAUAUAUGUAUGUGUGUGUAUGUGUUUGUGUGUUUGUCUCCCUAGCAUUGCUUGACAACCGAUGCUGGUGUGUUUAUGUCCCCGUCACUUAGCGGUUCGGCAAAAGAGACCGAUAGAAUAAGUACUGGGCUUACAAAGAAUAAGUCCCGGGGUCGAUUUACUCGACUAAAGGCGGUGCUCCAGCAUGGCCGCAGUCAAAUGACUGAAACAAGUAAAAGAGUAAAGAGUUAAAAAAAAACUAUUGAAUAACCUGUUCGUGAUCAUUGCAUUACUGUGUAUAUCUAGAUUGUUGAUAAUCGCCACACAUGAAACCUUUACAUGGUCUCUCGACCUGCUAGAAAUAGCAAUCAAAUCUUUCUUAACCUACACUGACAUCUAAAAUAUAAAAAAAGACGAAACAUUAUGUCACAAUGUGGUUAAUUUCCUGAAGCUGGCCUGAGUGUUUUCCAUUUGUUAAAUGUCAUUAAUAACGCUUAAUUUAAAGAAAGUUUUAUCUCAAUGAACAUAAUCUUUCAUCGAACUCGCGACUCACUUACUAAGCACAACAGAUCAAAAUUAUACGAACUUACUUUUUUCAUAUAAGAUUGUAAGCAAGCGCAAUCUUGGCUGUAUGGUAAAGAAUUUACUUCCUAACCACAUAGGCAGGUGUCUUCUGCUUUUUCCUCGGGGUGAGCAAAGCCUUGUGAGUGUAUCUAGUGGAGGGAAACUCAAAGAAUCUCGUCGUAUAUAUGUGUAUGUAUACUAUUUGCGUUCACAAAGUAUCCGACUUUAGUUUUUCCCGCCAAAACUAAUACCGCGUAUGCAAAAUCGUUUGGCGGAAGGUGGCCCUUUCUGCGCAUGCGUAAAAAAAAUUUCGCGCCAUUAGGACUCGUUAGUUACCAGCUGUUAUUCCUAGAGUGUACGCUCGUCGGAUUUUCGUUUCAACGAAACACAUCGAGCAGAUAUUGCGUCGAAUUUUGCCAGAAGCUUGGUGAUACUGAAGCUCAAACCAUCUAGAAAAUUCGAUAGGCUUUUUCUGAUAGUACGAUGAGGAAAACACAGAUCAUUGUGUGGCACAAUCGCUUCAAAUAUGGCUGUAUCUCAGUGGAGAGCAAGACUACGCCCAUGCAGGUCAUCCACAAGCCGAAACGAGGAGCCAGUUGUGAAGGUUUGACGAAUAGUCAUGGAAGACGGUCGUGUAGCAAUCCAGGAAAUUGCUCACGAAGUGGGAACAAACACAGGAUUUUAACGGAGGAUUUGAGCAUGCGGUGAGUGUCGACGAAAUUCGUCCCGAAGGUGCCACCGUAGUAGCAGAAGCAAUAAGGCAUGGAAAUCGCUCAGGACAAUGCUGGGCUGUUGAAACCACGACCCAGACUUUAUGAAGACCAUCAAAUAUUAGUACAGUUCUAUAUUUGAGAGAUGAGGAAUUAUUUACAUUUGACGGAUAUUUGUCCUCAUUUUGUUUGUUGUUAACACAACGUUUCAGCUGAUAUACCCUCCAGCUUUCUUCAGGCUAAAGAAGGCUGGAGAGUAUAUCAGACGAAACGUUAACAACAAACAGGAUGAGGACAGAUAUCUGUCAAAUGUAAAUGAUGUUUCAAAUACUGGUGAUGAGACAUAGGUUUAUGGUCUUUGCUUGAUGCAUUCGGUCAUCUUAGGUGAAACGAAAAUCCGACUAGCGCGCACAGGUCUCUACUUUAGGCGAAACAGCCGGAAACUGACGCAGCAUAUAAAGUCGGAUAUUUCUUGAACGCACCUCGUAUACACACACACACACGUGUGUGUGUGUUUCCUACCACCGCUUGAUAACCGGCGAUGGUAUGUUUACGUCCCCAUAACAUAGCUGCUCGGUAAAAAAAAAAAGAACCGAUAAAAUAAGUAAACAGGCUUUAAAAUUAGAAGCGUUGGGGCCGAUUCGUUCGACUAACAUUCUUCAAGGUGGUGUUCCAGCAUGGCCGUAGUUUGCUUUCAGAAUUUUUUUUUUUUUUUUCAAAUUUCGUCGUAAAUGGCAGAGUCGUUAGACGAUAUGUCUUGCCGUAUUUAUUCUGGCUUCUUGCGUUACGAAUUCAAAUCUCAUUGAAGUCAACCUUGCUUUCAUCCUUCCGAGGUCGAUAAAUGAAGUAUUACUGUGUCGGACGGGAUGUAUUUCGCUAUUUGCUCCUGCUCUUUGCGUUUCGUGUUAAAAUCCCGCUGUGGGUUUAAUUAAGUGGUAUAGAUAUUAUCCGUUCCUUGUAUCAGACCAACAUAUGUUCCUUGGUGAUUUUGUGGCGUCCACUUUGUAAGGCUUUCCUACAGACGUGUGCUCCACCUAGCUUUCAGAAAAAUGGAUUAAAAAAAAAAAAUUCCUACGAAUACCCUUCAGAUGGUGUAGAUUACGAUUAUAUUGGAAUUUAAUCUGAUCGGUGGGCGCGCACAUGUACCAGAGGAUGUUGAAAUGUUUCCCGCUUUGGGUAAAAGAAAAUACAAGAGGAUCAGUUAAUUAUGAUUUUAUUCAACAUAUUGUACUCUCAGAUUUAUACACACAUUGCAGAUGUCCUUCAGUUUUUCUAAGCCCUAUAAAAGAACUCGGAAGUUUGGGCCUCCAACCAAGUUUUUCGUGAUACCCUUAAAGCCAGGAACUUUUCAGUACCCCCUCGUAUAUACUGACAUCAUCACUUAUAUAUCUACAAAACGAAACCUGAAAAAACUUUGAAAAAAAAAUUCACGAAGUAUUUCAGUGAUACGUAUUUGCGCUUAUCAAUUUUUCUUUUUAUCCACAUUAAAAUUCCGAUACAGUCUUAAUUUACACCAUCUGAGAGGUAUCUGUAGAAAAUUCCAUUAAAAAAUAUCAUUUUUUCCUGAAAGUUAUGAAGAAACAAAGUCGCUGAUGUGGGGCACACAAGUGUAGGUAUACCGCAUUCAAAUCACGUUUCCUUCUCAUUAGUGUCAAUGUUCCUAUAAACAGACAUGGACACCGCCCUUCCGUCGAUAUAAAAGCGAUAAGAAAAAAAUGAAUCUAUACACCCUAGACAAUGUACCGCUACAAGAUUUAAUUACAGGCGUGGCUGUGUGGUAAAGUUUGCUUUCCCACUGCAUGGUUACGAGUCCAGUGUUAGUGUCUUCUACUAUAAAUUCGGGCCAACCAAAGCCUUGUGAGUAGAUUUGUUAGACGGAAACCGAAAGAAGCCGUCGUAUAUAUAUAUAUAUAUAUAUAUAUAUAUAUAUGUAUUUGUGUGUAUAUAUAUAUAUAGAGAGAGAGAGAGUGUGUGUGUGUGUGUUUGUACCCCUCACACCACCCGCUUGGCAACCGAUGCUGGUGUAUCUACGUUCCCGUAACUUAGCGGUUUAGCAAAAGAGACCGAUAGAAUGGGAUCUUUUUGCUUUAUUCUACCAGUAUACGAAGUUUAAAAUUUUUUAGUUACAUAGAAAUUAUUUUAAAAAUCUGCCGGUCAAACAGAAAAGAUCCCAAUAAAAUACAAAAGAAAUAUUUUUUUUUACACUAAGUAAAUAAUUGUUUUAAAACAAAGUAAAUAAAUUUUCUAAACAAAGUAAAUAAAAUACAAAAACACAAAGUAAGGAUCGACUAGCUAGCGCGGAUGCGUGGCUAUGCGAAUGCGCGCACUCUUCUUAAGUAGUACCUAAAAGAUAUAAUACGCGUAAUAAGGAAAAUUACGAGCAACAAAGUCGGUGAUGCUUAGUCCUCUUGGACUUUGUUUUACAGUAUAUUCUUUCAUUAGUUGUUGCUAUUCUUAGUUUUAAGGCGGCGAGCUGACAGAAUCGUUAGUGCACCAGGCAAAAUGCUUAGUGGCAUUUCGUCGGCCGUUAAGUUCUUAAUUCAAAUUCCGCUGAGGUUGACUGUCUUUUCUCCUUUUUGGGUCGAUAAAAUAAGUGCCAGUUGAGUUCCUUGUGCCCAAAUUUGAAACCAUAAUUAUUAUUUUUCUAAAAGAUGAACUUUGAUGGAGACUUAGCAUCUAUUUCAAGUACAUCGAAUGACGACAUAGCCUCUAAGGUUGGUCUGGUUUCAUAUCUCUUUAAACAAAGCAAUUUUCGGUUUGAACGGCAGUUUUAUCUAGCGGUGUCAUAUGAAAUUGUCACCCAUAAUUAUGACCCUAGUAUCGAUCUAUUGCAUUUCAAUCUGUUUUAGGGUUAGAGGUGGGGAAAGGGUAAAUUUUUUUCUUCACAAAUGUAAAUAAACCCAAUCUGUUUCUUAAACGAGGGACAUAUUCAUACGGCACAGAAUGGUUUUUACCUCAAUAGACGUCAUUGAUUGGUUGAAAUUGCAGAAAUUGAAGAAAAAAACAACAUAUAUCUUACAAACUAUAGAAUUUUCUCAAUAAAGCCGAGAGAAAAAGAUGUUUUAUAAACACAUUCUACCAGUAUACAAAGUUUAAAAUUUUUUAGUUACCUAGAAAUUAUGUUAAAAACUGCCGUUCAAACCGAAAAGAUCCCAAUUUUCUUUUAUUUAAAGAACUCUAUAUGAUGCUUUUGGAAAAGACCUGCUGGAAAUAGCAGCCAAAUUAACGCUUAUUUUCCUCUACGUCUUCAUUCACCGGAAGGGAAAAAAAGAAAGUAUGCAAAGGGAAACAACUUUGAUACGAUUACUGGAAGCGCUAUAUUUUAAUUUUCUUUUUCAUUUUUGUUUUAGAACAUAGCAGUGUAUCUAUCUUCUCUAUCCUACUAACUUACGUAAGAACGGCAAUUAACUACCUACACUGGUACUUUGACGAGUCUGAACAUCGUGUAAUAAGCAUAGUUUUUCUUAUUUCUUAAUCUUUGAUCUUGAAUUUUUAAUAUUUGGUAAGAUGGACGUACACAUCAAAAUCGCUACGAUUUUAUAAAAGUACUUAAUGUAACAAAUAUAAAAUUACUUAUCCUGUCCAAUAAAAGGAGAGAAAAGGUAAAAAAAGGAUCUUUUCGGUUUGAACGGCAGUUUUUUCUAGCGGUGUCAUAUGAAAUUGUCACCCAUAAUUAUGACCCUAGUAUCGAUCUAGUGCAUUUCAAUCUGUUUUAGGGUUAGGGUUAGUUAGGGUUGGUUAGAGAUAGGGUAAAUAAACCCAAUCUGUUUCUUAAACGAGGGACAUAUUCAUACGGCACAGAAUGUUUUUCCCCUCAAUAGACGUCAGUGAUUGGUUGAAAUUGCAGAAAUUGAAGAAGAAAAAAAACAACAAAUAUUUUACAAACUAUAGAAUUUUCUCAAUAAAGCCAAGAGAAAAAGAUGUUUUAUAAACACAUUCUACCAGUAUACGAAGUUCAAAAUUUUUUAGUUACCUAGAAAUUAUGUUAAUAACUGCCGUUCAAACCGAAAAGAUCCAAAAAAAUCUUUAAAUAUCCUUACGUGCUGUGUGGUAUGAAGUUGAUUUCCCAACCACAUGGUUCUGGGUUCAGUCCCACUAUGUAGCACUUUGAGCUUCUUCUAUAGCCUCGGGACGACCAAAGUCAUGUGAGUGGAUUUGGUAGGCGGAAACUGAAAGAAGCCUGUCGUGUAUAUGUCUGUGUGUGUCUGCAUUUGUCCCCCUGCCAUUGCUUACAACCACCUGUAACUUAGCAAUUCGGCAAAACGCACCGAUAGAAUAAGUACUAGGCUUACAAAGAAUAAGUCCUUACUGUAGAGAGAACCUGUGGAAGAUGUAGACCCAGGAAGAUAGGUGAAGUGGUAAAAUAUGAUCUUUGAAUGUUGAGUCUCACAGAAGUGAUGACAAGUGACCAAGAUGCUUGGUGAUUUACUAUGGUUGAGAUGACAUGCCAAGCUAAGUGAAAUUGUAGUCAUCUCCAGUGUUGGUGACACAUGAAAGACCCCUGUGCAGGUUGUUGUUGUUGUUUAUUCCUUCUCGAGCCGUGCCUGACUCAUAUGGGCCGGUUUUUUGGUGUAUAGGUUCCCCACCUGGACGGGACGCUGGUCUGUCGCAGGUGAGCUGCAAGAUGCAGGAGGAAAGAGUGAGAGAAAGUUGUGGCGAAAGAGUCAGCAGAAGUUCACCAUUAUCUUCUGCCGGAGCUGUGUGGAGCUUAGGUGUUUCGCUCAUAAACACACACAUCGCCCGGUCUGAGAUUCGAACCCGUGAUCCCUCGACCGCGAGUCCGCUGCUCUAACCACUAGGCCAUGUGCCUCCACCUGUGCAGGUAACACAUGAAAGGCACCUGUGCUGGUGACUCACAUGAAAGUCACCCAUGCUGGAAACACAUAAAUGACAACCACUACACUCCAUGGAGUGGUUGGCGUUUGGAAGAGCAUCCAGCCAUAGAAACAAAGCCAAAAUAGACUGGAGCCUGGUGCAACUUACCAGCAUCAGUUAAACCAUCUUACCCAUGCCAGCACAGAAAAUGGAUGCUAAAUGAUGAUGAUAAUGAAGACUGCAAACAAACGACUACACUUGUAUGACAGUGAUGCUCAUUUAAAACCAUCAUGUGGAGUCAAGACAAGGGUACACAAGCACUCAUACAUACUUUAUAUGUACACACACACAAAAUGGGCUUCUUUCAGUUUACUGAAUUCACUCUCAAAAAGUUUUGGUUGGCCUAGUGAUGUUGUAGAAGAUACUUGCCCAAGGUACUGCACAGUGGGACAGCAACAUGCAACCACAUGGUUGGGAAGUAAGGUCCUUAACCCUUUAGCAUUUAAACCGGCCCAAAUAUUCUACCUGUCUUAUGUUCAAACUAGCCAGAUUUCACCUCUCACACCUACCAUGCCAUGUCAUUCUAAAUAUAAACAAUCACACCAUCGAAGUCCCAAAGCUAUGAAAUAAUGCAUGGUUAAUUGAAAGCAAUGUGAAUGCAUAACUAUUUCAUUUGGCAGAUUACUCUGAAUGCGAAAGGGUUAAACAAACAUGUGUCUAUUUAUCUCUUUACUUUUCAUUUUUAGAUCAAUCAACAAGAUGUAAGGGAAAACACAUUUACAUAUGUAGAACUUGUGAAACCUGUUAUAACAGUAAGGUUGUAGAGAUGAUACUGCAGAAUGGAGCUGAUGUUGGAAUGAAGACAACCGGUCAUGAAACACUUCCCUGUAUCAUCAGUCUGGUGGUGGAACUGUUACUGAAAUAUGGGGCUAAACUCAAUACAAAGGCUAUGACUGGUGAAGAAAUUCUACCAUCCGGCUAAUUUAAUAGAUACAUCAUUGUGAUAUUUGCUACUCAUAUAAAUGAUGGUGAUGCUGGUGGUUGUGUCACAUGGAGCAGUUUUAAAGUAAGUUACAGUUGAGCCUAAAUCUCCAUAAGUGUUUCUUUUUAUUUUUGAUCUCAAUAAUCCUUUAUCUUUUACUUGUUUCAGUCAUUUGACGGUAACCAUGCUGGGGCAUGACCUUGAAAAGUUUGAUUGAACAAAUAGACCCCUGUACUUAUUUUUAAGCUUGGUACUUAUUCUCUUAAUCACCUUUGCUUAACUGCUAAAUUAUGAGGAUGUAAACAAACCAACACUGGUUGUUAAGCAGUGGUGAGUGACAAAUACAAAGAUGCACAUACAUGUGUGUCUGUGUGUUUGCGUAUGUAUGUAUGUAUAUAUAUAUAUCUUUUAUCUUUUACUUGUUUCAUUCAUCUAAAGGAUUUUAGUUAAACAAAUCGACCCCAGUGAAACAUUGGGGUCGAUGUAAUUGACUAACCCCCUGCCCCAAAAUUUCACAUCUUGUGCUUUAGAAGAAAGAAUUAUUUGGCUUCCGUGCCAGUGGCACAUAAAAGGCACCAUUUGAGUGUGAUCGUUACCAGGAUCGCCUUACUUAUGCCCUGUGCUAGCAGGAUGCUAGGAGCACCAUCAAAGCGUGAUCAUUACCAGAGCAGCUAACUGGCUUCCAUGCCAGUGGCACGUAAAAGGCACCAAUCGAGCAUGAUCAUUACUAGCGUUGCCUUACUGGCACCUGUGCUGGUGGCAUGUGUAAAAAGAUUCAAGCAAGGUCGUUGCCAGUACAGCCUGACUGGUCACUGUGCCAGUGGUACGUAAAAGCACCCACUACACUCUCGGAGUGGUUGGCGUUAGGAAGGGCAUCCAGCUGUAGGAACUCUGCCAGAUCAAGGUUGGAGCCUGGUGCAGCCAUCUGGCUCGCCACCCCUCAGUCAAAUCGUCCAACCCAUGCUAGCAUGGAAAGCGGAUGUUAAACGAUGAUGAUGAUGAUGAUGAUUGUGAUUAAUGUUGCUACUGUGGUAUUUACUUUUUGUUAUGUCUUUUGUAGGUAUUUUCUUAAGAUUUAAAGACGUUCCCCAGGAAAACAUUAAGUAAAACCAUUCCUGCAACACAGCAGAACAGUUUCGAAAUGUUGAACAAAAGUUUCUUUAAAAGAAAAUGUAUACCUGCAAAUCUAAGAACUCAAUUAAAUAUUUACCUUUUCAAUUAAAAAGUGAUUUUCA
rnacentral:lncRNA from 1 species